GGCGCUCCUAGGUUAGCGACAGGGACACAUCUCUAAUUCAGUCACACCAAACGCACGCACCCAACCACCAAGCCACCCCGUGUCCUAAGAAUGACCGGCCUCCCGGAGUCCAGCACGCCUCGUCGUGCAUUUUAAGGGCAGAGAAAGGAAACGGGAUGGACUGAACAGAGGCUCCUGCUGCCGCCGCCACCAAAACCCUAGGCCUGGGAACACGAUUCAGAACACGGCGGGUGGAAAUCAGCCCUCGUCCCAGAGGAGGAAACUGAGGGGGUUUUUCCCCUACAGCAGAAGAAGUCCAAUGGAAGGGCAAGUCCAGGGUCGACUCGGAGGUCAAAGGCGUUCCCGCCCAGGAGUGUCCUGUUCUUGUGCUGUGCCCCGCAUCUCUCCCUCCCUGGCUUCCACAUCACCUCAUCAGAUGAGGAAGCCGGGCCAGAGGGUGACGCGAACCACUAAUGAGCGGUGAAGUCAGGAUCUGGAUCCAGACAGGCUGAUUGCCAGAGCUGCGCGCUCAUCAACAUCACCAUUCGGGAUGAGGCCUCCCCUCCCCACUGCCCACCGUCAGCUGCAGCCGAGCGCCAGGAGCGCAUGGUGCCCCUAAUAACCGGACCUCAGCUAUGCGACUGGGUGGGGCGUGGGACCAGCUUGUUCUCUCUGCUCUGGUUUCCUAUGUGUGUUCUCUCUCCUCCAGGAAGGAGUCAGGGGGGUCUCCCCCGGGCCCACACAAGUGGAGCCAGCUCUGACCCUCCCCUUCCGUCCCUGCCUCAUGCAUCAAGCCUCAGGCUGCCCCUGGGAGGGGAACUCCACUCACCGGUGCAGGCCAUGUGCCAGGCACAGCUGAGCCCUUCAGAUCUGCGGAUCAGAUGAACCCUCUCCACCCCCCUGUGCAAGAGGGGAUGUUAGCCUCCUUUAUGGAUGAGGAAACUGAGGCUCGGAGAGGUUAUGUGCACUGCCUAAGGUCACACAGCCAGUGAGCAGUGGGACUGGGAUUUGAACUCAGGUCUGUCUGAUUUGAGAGUGCCUGGGCUCUCCCCCUUCUUGUGUCCUUCCUACACCCUCUUCCUUCGUGUUCUCUGUCUAAUCCCCAUUUAUCCUUAAGACCCUCCUUCAUACUUUUUCCUUUGCUCCUAGUAUGUUAAUUGAUGAUAAUACAUAAUAAUGCGUUUAUUGGACACUUGUCACCAGCUAGCAUUUUAUAUGUUCUCUCCUGUAAUCUCCCCCACAGCUGAUGGACUGAGGUGUUACUACCAUGCCCAUUUUACAGA